rnacentral:lncRNA from 1 species
AAACACAAGUAUAAUGAUCUAUAUCCAGCAACAUUGCUAAACUCUUAUUAGUUUUAGAAGCAUUUUUUUGAUAGAUAGAAUUGUCCGUAUAUACUCUUAUUUUCUGUAAAUAAAGACAGUUUUAUUUGUCCCUUUCCAAUACGAAGGCCUUUUAAAAAAACUUAUUACACUGGACAGAACCUCAGGCACGUUGUUGAACUAUUCUUCUCAACACCACCCUUUUCCAUGAACUCGUCAGUCUUAGGUUUUAGUUUCCUACAUGCAAAUAUCCUGCGUAAUUUCUGGCAUGAAAAUCUGCCUCAUUCACUCUACACUGUUAAAAUCCAAGCCUGGGUACCACAUCUACUGAGAUGAGCAUAACCCUACAGUUGAAACAAGACACAUAAGAUGUCCAGUGGAGCAAAUGUAUUCACUGGAGUUUGACAGCCUGAAUGCAGUGAUUUCAGACUGGGGAAAACUGAAACCCCAGGAGACUUCUGUGGACACUUUUCCAUUGGUAGGAUGGGAAAGUUCCUUGGUGGUAUCCAAGUGAGUGGUCUUCAAGAUGCAUAAGAGAAAUUUUUAGGAGUGAAGUAGGAUGAUUCACAUCUACACAUAUAUUUAAAUACAGUCAGAUUACCUCGGAGAGAUUUCCGGUAAGAUGUACAAAAACUAGAUAAUGGUGGGAGAAAACAGAAGGAAGCACUGAAGUGGGGUGACUUUGGGAAAAGGCUUAGAGGAAAUACUCUCUCCCUGCCAUGUGACCCACCCAAGUUGAACAUGGGAGGAAAGGAGCACCGCUACUCAGUUUGGGAAAGCUCUUUAGGAGUGCUAAAGAAAUGUCCCCUUUUUCUUCAAUCAGAGCAUCCUGGCUUUGUCAUCAGACUCCCCUCUUCCCUCUCUCCAUACCCCUUCCCCCCUCCCACUCACGACAAUGUCCUUAUAGUGCUUUGUGAUGUCUAAGCCCCUCACCCCUCAGAGCCACCAUUGGCUGGGUAGUGGCUUGCUGAUCCAUCAAAGCUCACAGGUAUGGCUUUAUUGUCACGGUGGAAGGGGGUGUAUAUAUAGGGAGGCCAGGAGGCAUGGAGUAGACGAUUGAGAGACACUGACAUGGUGAAGAUGACCAGGAAACCACAAACCUCCAGCCCAGGUGUCAAAGAACAACCACCUGCCAACACCAAAGGGGCAAGGAACAGGAAGGCCCCCUGUCAAACUAAGUCUAUAAGUCCUAUCAAGGUUCCUAAGACAACCAGGAAGGGAAAAGGAAACCUUUUAGGGAAUUCCAGAAAAAAAAAAAACAACUCUCCCAAAAAAGAUCUCUGCUUCAAGAAAACCUGAGGAAGGAAGCGAGCCAAAACUAUCCAGCCCCUGUGACCAGCUGAAUGAGGAACUUAAUCAAAAUUAGCCACAGCAGGACCAAAGCAAGGAGACCUCCAACAUCCCUAGUGUCUCCCCGGGCAGCCAGUAAUUUCAGGGCAAGACCAGAGAACUCAGAUUUACCUGAAAAGUCUCCAGAGGUCUAACCCCAAAUAAAUAGCCAACAGGGUCUAGAGUACGUUUUACACCCCACAGGGUACACCCCACGGUGAUCAAAAUAAAAAGAACCUGUUGUAAAAUGGGGUGUGUGUGUGUGUGUGUGUGUGUGUGUGUGUGUGUGUGUG